rnacentral:lncRNA from 10 species
CUAGGACUCACUCUGUCUACAUUUAAGCCUGGGUUUUUAAAAUACAUGAACAUUUUAGUAACUGCACGCUUUCAUUCAUUAGAGUGCAAGGUGAAUCCUGGUCUGUUCUACAAAGAUGAGAAGCUCACAGUCGUAGGAGACAGUGUGGCCAGGUAUGAUUGUAAAAAAUUAAUUGUGAGGCAGUUUUUACAGACACCGUAACCUGGAAAGCUAGAGGAGGAGGAAAAUAAAAAUGGGGUGGGGCAACCUCAGAGGGAGGAUGCCCGGGUUUAGGAGAAGAGGAAAGAGCCUUCCGGAUGGGGAACCGGCAUUAUCAGCAAAGGCACAGACGUCUGCAAGAGCCAUGCAGGUUCACAGGAGGGAGAGUGAACCCCGGCUUGAUAGAGGCAGGAAUACGGAGGCCAGGACCUGCUCCUGGGGGCUGCCUGCCCUGUGCUGAAUGAUUUAUAUAUGGAAUCUCAUUGAUUUCCUCUCAUGUUUUAGAAACCCUUACGCCCAUUUUAAGGAUAAUGAAACUGUGGCUGGAUGAAGCUAAUGAAGGGAUUUAAACCAUGUCCAGAACGUGCGUCCACCCUGGCAAGUUGCAGGCAGGACUUCUGCUCCCGCCCUCUGGAUCUCCACGCGGGGCACCUCUAACAGGUCCCUGAGCUUGGUGUGUGAUCCCAACGUGGGGCACGGGUUCUCCCCAGCCUGGCACAGAGGAGCCUGCUGCCCGCAAGGACUUCCUCGCCCAGCCAGGCUUGGGCUGUUCGUGAAGCGGGAAGGAGCCCCGCAGCCCGGCACUCACACUGAGAAGACAAUGCACAUGCGCCUACUUUCCCGUUAAGGGGACACUGAGGCCACAGCUGUGGAAGGUGAAGCAGAGACAGACGAAGCCUGGAAUGGCUGAAAGGCACUUACGGCAGAAGCGCAGACGGAGACACAGGGUCAGGCUCAUGCACGCGGCUUGGCCGUGUCCGGCUCAGGGCCUGGUCCUCAUGGCCCAGGGGGCAGCUGGAGAAACAGCACAGGCGUCGUGGCCACGCGUCCUUCCCCAGCCUGGCACAGCAGGCCGUAUGAGUUUAUCUGUAAUAUCAACUACGAUGUUAACUGUUUUAUUUAUAUGCAGUUUUAUCAUACGAGUCCUUAAAAGGAGAUUCACUGUCGCCUCAGAGCACCCUGGUUUUUAUUAAUCUGGUCGCAUUCGGAGUCGUUUAGUCAGCCGCCACUUCCUGCUUAGACGCACCAUCCACAGGUGUGUCAUUAGCGUGGAGGAAUUCGAGCAGGACUGGGUUCAACUUCGCGUUUCCCAUAUUACUGAGGAUGACUCAUUUCUCAUUAAAAGGUAAGCAAGACUGGAUGACCCAAAUUAAAACAAAAAUCAACCGCAAAUUAACUGAGUUCAAGAGAGAAUGUGGCCUGCUAAGCUUCACAUUGUGGAGAGUGUGCCGGUUUUCAGAGUUGUCCAUGGCACAGUCUGAAAGACGGCAUCUCAUCUCAUCCAAAGGGAAACCAGGCCCGCUCCUCCCCUUCUCUGACCAGACAUUUCCAAGGAUUGCCUUCCGGAGAGAAUGGUGCUUCUUUCGUUCGUCCUGUGUGGGACAAAUGGCUCUCUGGAAUGGCUGUUCCCCGUGAUCUGUGAUGCUGGUGUUCUCUUACCGCAUUCUACCCACUUGGCAUUUUUGUACACUGAGAACAGGGAUUUGAAAGACUAGGGAGUACGGGAAGACAUAGUAUAGACUUAGAAAAACUCCUCAUGUCUUUUUAAAUAAACCGAAUGCAACUAUGAAACAUAUGCCUCUGAAAGAACCAGCCUCUUUCAAAUCUUUGUUUUCUCUCUUCAAUAGACCAUCAUUGGUGAGGAUUUUUCUUGCGAUGAAACAUAUGGCUAAUUGAUUUCUCUGAUGAAGAACCUUUUCUGCUAUCAUGAAUGGCUGCUUUGAACCAUGACUGAAAGAACAGUGGCCCUCCGAGUGUCAGGGGACGCGCUGGAACCCGAGUGGCGGAGCCGUGGGCGGCCAAGAGUCAAGCGCACACACGCAGGAGGCGGGCACGUCUCAGAGGUCAAAACCUGGCCGAGAGGAGAUGCAAAGGGUUAAGAGAAAAUCUGCAGACGUUUUUUCCUGCUAAAUUUUGAUAUUGGAAACACAUCUUCCAAACGGCAUUUUUUUAGCUCUGAGUUUCUCUGGUGAAUACCUGUUUAAAAUGAGAGCCUCCAGGAGGCAGGGUGGGUGGGGAAAGAGAGACCAAGACAGAGAGAGAGAGAGAGAGAGAGAAAGAGAAAGAGAGAGAGGAAGAUUGGGAGAGGGACAGAGAGAGAAAUAGAGAAACGUUUACCAUUUAAAAAGGGGGUAGGGCUUUAUAUAUUUCUCCCCCAAAAUAUCUUCAGUCGUCACAACAAAGGUCACCAUCAUUUCUAAAUCCUUUAUAUACCACAUAAAAUGACUUUUACUCCAAAAAUCCUCCCCGAAGGAUAGUUUGUGGGUUUUUUUUUAUUAUCAUGAUCUGCGUGGCUCACUCUUUUUGCCAAUAUUGUGACCAAAUAUAAAGCAAGAGUGUCGAUUUUUUCAACCCAGAAAUACAUUUUGAAGUCCAUCAUGAAGCAGGUUGGAAGGUGCCGUUUUGAAAGCUAGACCUCCUGGGAGGCUUUCUGACCCUCAUAAUGCAGGCAAAUUCUUACAUUACUGCAUGAUAGACAUGGUAGGCUUAGGGACAGGUCCCCAUUAGGAAAUCACUAUGUCUUCAGGCAAGUUUUGCCCUUGAGUUGAAGAGGGAUGAAAACAAAGUAAAGUGGUUGUCACAAACUGUUUUGAUCUUUAAACUUAUUUGACUGUGGCACAGCAAAGCCUCAGCUUCUGCAGCCAUGUUAGAGACAUCGCUGCAGAAAAUAGUCUCACUUUAGAAUAUGCUUUCACCCUUCAAUGUUAAUAACUGCUCCUCAGCAAGACCUGUGAUUUCCUUCUCUCUUCCUCUGAUAGCCAGUCCCUUGCUCCUCAAAUCAUGGACCAGGGGCCAUCAUCAGCAUGGGCUCCACCCAGGGGCUGAUUUGACUUGCAUGGUCUCAGGCCUCCCCCAGAUCUGCAGCACCAGGGUGGGAAUUCUGAAAGGAUUUCAACUCUAGGGACCGCUGGUUCAGAGAACUCUGAUCUUGCAAUAGAGUCCGUACGCACUUAGCACCUGAAAUGUUCCCUAGUCCACAUCUCGAGUUUGGAGCAGCAAGAAUCUUCAUGGUGAAAGCUGCCAUGACAUUCUUCUGCUUGCCUGGCAAACUAAGGAGACUCUUGGCCAUAACCUUUUAUAAAGUCUUAGCUCGUCUUAUCUAAAUCCUUCUAUUAUCAAAGUUAAACUCUUCCAGCUCCCUGAUCCUUUCCUAUUAUUCUCUGAAAUGUCCAUCUCUUUUCUGCCCAACCCACUCAGCCAUGUUCUUAUGGGCCCAAGAAGGUAAGAAAGAAAGAUACUGGGAAGGGAUAGAUGUGCAAAUGAUGAAUGAGCUUUCGUUUGGAUUUAAAAGCCUGUGUCAUUAAGGAAAGGGUGGAUUUCUGGAAUCAAAGAGGGUGAGUGUUCUGUGCAUUCUCCCCAAUCAGCUGCGAUCUCUACAUCAGCAACCGGCCUUGUCACAUUGUGUUUGAAUAUGUGUGUGUUCUUCUUUCAAACAUGGCUGGGCCUUAGGGUUGUUUUUUUUUUUGGUUGUUUGUUUUUUGCUUCUAUUUUUGCUUUAUUUUGCAUUUCCCCAUAAAUGUAUGUAAUUAAAAAAUAGAAUCCACUUGUUGAGAGUAAAGUAGUCAUCUCAUUCCACACUUCCUCCCACCACGGCACCACUAAUUUAUCGUGCAAUCCUAGCAUUUUUAUUCUUGCUGAGAUGUGGAUAACCUUUUUACAUUGAAAACUCCUUUGCAACCUUACAAGAAAAGCCAAUUAAUCAAUUAGAAUAUCAUUCUCGAAUUACAGUGGAAUUAUGUGUCCCCUCUGCUGAAAACCAUUGAAACUUGCGGUGCAUUACUUCAAUUAAGAAUACUUAAUUUCCAAAUGGCACAAAUGAGCAAAGCAUGAGUCAUAGCACACGGCUCUCCUUAAAAGCCAUCAGUGCUAAUGGUUUUGAAACCUGUAUAAACCUGAUACGUGCUUCAUUUAUAUGGCAAGCUAAAUCCACGUAAGGGUGUAAUAUUUCUGCUUAUGUACACAAGGCUUUAUGUGGUGCUCCCUGCAAUUGCACAAAAAUGUAGAUGGCUUUUUGCAUGCCCUGCUUCUUACGUGAGGUGUGGCGAGUAGAUAGGAUCGUGCUUCGCUAUCACCCCACACAAAGUGCACUUAGGCCGAUCGAUCGGAAUGCUUCAUAACAUUCGAAGUUAUGAUAAUCAGAGAUUAGGGGGAAACAGCAAAUUCCAGUGUCUGGAGAAGUAUUUUUCAUUGCUCCUGUAUCUCACUAUCCCAUCUGCCUGGCUUUAUUCCAGACUCUUCAUUUGACCCCUUUGCACUGCCAUCCAGCAUGAAUGAGUUUUGCUAGAAUGAGGGGUGUGGAAACCAGUUUCUCAAGCCUCCCAAAGCUCCAGGUUUUAUUCUUGUCUUGAGUUCUUUGUAUCCAGGCUGUUCAUUAGAAUCCUGGGAGAAGAUGACCCUGAGAUAGCAAUAAUGGUGCGUUCACCAUGGGGAGCCCACACCUGUUCCCUGCAAAGGACCCACAUGUUUCUUCUCUGGCCUACUUAUCUCCCCCAGUAUAGAAUACCACCUUUUACACUUCCUCGGCAAAUUGCUUUAGUGCAUUAGAUCGAUAGUACUAAAAUCUAAGUCCAUAUUAGACUUCAAUAUUAAUGUUUGUGUUAACCAUAAACACAAAAUACAAAUACUGAUGUUUAUGAAUUAGUGUUACUAAUAUUAAUUUUUGUGUUAACCAUGAACUUCUAUACUAAUUUCAAUACUAAUUAAAUACUAAUUUUUGUGUUAACCACAAAUGCAUUAUGAAGAACAGUAAGAGAAAAUAAGAGGAUAUGGAAAAUCAAUAUUAGUUCUAAAUGUUCUUAUUUUGUUCCCAACGUUUUGUAUCAAACUGUUUAUAGCAUAUGAUUUUUCCUCCCAAAGUACUGCCUUCAUGCUCUAGAAAAAUUUGCUUUCAAUUUUCAAUAAUCAAAUGGUAAAUUUUGUUUAAAUUAGCUUCUUUAAAAAUGAAAACACUUGAUUCUGGGAAGAUUUUUCCUAAUUGGCUAAAUAAAGACAAUUUUACUGAAAUAAAAACAUUCUGUUCUAUCAAAAGGUCUUAGGUUUGGGCAACAGGGAGCUAGUCCCCUGGGAACGUGGGACAAGUGCACAUCCUGAGCCCAUCCCAGAAACACUGAAGUCCAGUAAGGCUCUCACCUUGGUUCUGGACUUAGAAACAUCCUUGAGCUCACCACAGGCUGCAGCUUGCUCGUAGCCACUCUCCCCCAACUCAUUGAUGGCUCCAGCUGGGCACUGCUGCCUCCAAGUGACGCGAGGGCGGGGAGAGUUUCAGGAAGCAUGCACUUGGCCUGUUAACCAGCACUGGAAAGAGUAAGUCAUUGCUGAAAUGUAUUUACCAAGGUGGGACACUGGAUUUAUUUUAUUUAUUAGGUUUUUAAAAAAAAUCUUGUGGAACUUUUUUUUUUUUUUUUUU